rnacentral:lncRNA from 1 species
UUCUCUCUUUCUCGCUCUCUCUCUUCCUCUCCCUCUUUCUGACCCUCUCUCCUUUCUGCUCCAGAUGGUCUCAAGUACAGAGGACACCCGAGGAAGAGACUGCUUCCAGGACUAGCAUGUGUGCUAUCGUGUCUAGGAUAGGUCUGGAUGUGUUUAGACUUAUAUGCAUGGACGUGUUUACACAGCCCGUUCUCUUAUGGAAUAUGCCAGGAGGUGCCGAUUCUGCAUGUACCAGAUUACGUUUGGACCUGGUGAAAUGUGAAAGCUAUACCGCAAUCGUAUGUACCUACGGGGGAAGGAUGGCCAGCCACACAAGAGAGUGAUUUUUUCUAAGGAGGAGAAGGAGGCUGUGCUGAUCGAGAUGCAUGCUGGCCAUUUCGGGAUUGAAGUGCUUGAUUGCCAAAAUCAACCUCCGCUUCUUCUGACAUGGAUUUGUCAAGAAGGUGGACAGCUGGGCAUCUGAAAUAUCCUUUUGCUUAUCAAUCACAUUCUAUUAUAUAUGAAAUUAUUAUGAUUUCAAUGAAUGUCAUAUCAGACAAUGUUUCAAUUUGUGAUUAUCGGUCAGUACCCCGUCUAGCCUGCCAGAAGUUUGAGAGGGUGAAGACUGUGGCGUCGGAGUUGAAGCUCAUCAAAGUUGUUUCACCAUGGCACAUGAUCAGGAUGGACCUCAUCAAACCCUUCCCAAAAUCCAGGAAUGAAAACAGCUGGUGUCUGAGGGCGACCGAUCACUUUAUCAAAUGGGUGAAGGCAGUACCCAUUAAGGAUCUACGGGAUCGGUGUCCCUAUACUAGGACGGUUGUUGCUAACGUGCGCUAAUGUGACUAGAAUGACGUUGUAAGUAAACAGCAAAUUUUCCAGGACAUCGAAAGCUUAAAUGAUUGUUAAUCUAACUGCUCUGUCCAAUUUACAGUAGCUAUUACAGUGAAAUAAUACCAUGCUAUUGUUUGAGGAUGGUGCAAAACAACAACAACCACAAAUGUAUCACAACAACUGGUUUGAUACUUUCACAUCUGAAGGUACAUAAUGUUAUUUCAUUCAGUAAUCUUAUUCGGAUUUGUCAUCCCGAGGGUCCCAGACAUAAAGUGUAGGAUAGUUUUUGCUUCAUAAAAUCCAUUUUUAUAUUCAUGAUUUGAACCCCUGCUUUCUCUGGUCCCACACGCACCACGCCCGGCCAUCGAGAUGUGUGAAGGUUAGUGUUUUUCUCUGUAGGGAAGCUAAUGAUCCAUCAUGUGUACCAUUCCAGGGAGUACGUCAACUUAAUAUUUGUAUUACCAUAUAAUUUGUGUAUGUUCUCUGUUGUUAUGUACUUGAAAAUUUAUAAAUUCACCAAUUUGGCACAUUUGGGCAGACUUGCAAUACUUUACUGGAUCAGUCUGAAACUUUGCACACACACUGCUGCCAUUUGGUGGCAACAAUCUAAAUUGUGCCUAAAGUCCAAUAUGAUAUUAUGGCAUUUCUCUUGCAUUUCAAAAA